UGGCGGACGGGUGAGUAACGCGUGGGUAACCUGCCUUGUACUGGGGGACAACAGUUAGAAAUGACUGCUAAUACCGCAUAAGCGCACAGUAUCGCAUGAUACAGUGUGAAAAACUCCGGUGGUACAAGAUGGACCCGCGUCUGAUUAACUAGUUGGUAAGGUAACGGCUUACCAAGGCGACGAUCAGUAGCCGACCUGAGAGGGUGACCGGCCACAUUGGGACUGAGACACGGCCCAA
rnacentral:rRNA from 1 species